GAUCCUGGCUCAGGAUGAACGCUGGCGGCGUGCAUAACACAUUCAAGUCGAACGAGGCAGCAAUGCCUAGUGGCGGACGGGUGAGUAACGCGUGAGCAACCUGCCCCUUGCAUGGGGGGAUACCAUCUGGAAACGGAUGUUAAUACCGCAUAAAGUACAAGCGACCGCAUGGUCGUAGUACCAAAGAUUAUUGCGCAAGGAUGGGCUCGCGUCCCAUUAGAUAGUUGGUGAGG
rnacentral:rRNA from 1 species